GGCAGCCGCGGUAAUACGGAGGGGGCUAGCGUUGUUCGGAAUUACUGGGCGUAAAGAGUUGCGUAGGUGGCACUGUAAGUUGGUAGUGAAAGCGUGGGGCUCAACCUCAUAUCCAUUACCAAAACUGCAGAGCUAGAGAAUGAGAGAGGUGGCUGGAAUUCCCUGUGUAGGAGUGAAAUCCGUAGAUAUAGGGAGGAACACCGAUGGCGUAGGCAGGCCACUGGCUCAUUUCUGACACUAAGGCACGAAAGCGUGGGGAGCA
rnacentral:rRNA from 1 species